rnacentral:lncRNA from 1 species
GAAAAAGCUAGAGGGAAAGAGGUAUCAUAGUCAGAGUGAUGUAUCUUUUAAUUUUGUUUUAUUUAGUGGAGAAGGAGAAAGCAGUCAUAUUAAGCUAAUCUUGCCAUAGUGGAAAUGCUAAGUCACAGCUUGAACCAGCAAUUGAGCACCUGGUGGGAAGGCAGGGCCAACCCAAGGGAGAUCAGGUGCAUGCAAUGAGGAUCCAGGACCCACCCCUUCCCUGACCUCAUUUAAGGAUCGGCAGUGAAAGCAAGGAUAUCUUGCUGGAGAUUCCUGGGUACCUUAGGCCUUCUGAAAGUAAGUAGAUUCUUUUGUUUCUGUGCCUACAGCUGUUGUAUUUGAGCAAGCCCUCAUCUGCUGUAGCCUAAGGCUUUGUUACUCUGUGGUUAUUGCUGUGCUUUCCAUCGUGUUAUACUUGCCAAAUCCUGACAGAUUUAAAAUAUUUGUAGGGAUGGUCAUACCUCUAAAAGCAAAACUCCUAAAGAGUAUCUUAUAAAUUAACUUUCUUUUAACUUUCUUGGCAGAAUUAGAAAGUAAAUGCAGAAGAUCAGUAGAAGCUGGCAAUCACAACAGAGGAGGGAAGAAAUUGACUCUGGCUUACGACUAAGAAAUUAAUCAAAAAGGACAAGUAUUAUCAUUGCUUGCGUCUCAGUUUAACAAGGAAAUCCUUCAGGAUUCUACCUCGGAAGGAGCCAUAUGAUCAAUGGAAUAACAUGUCAGGAGCUGUUAGACAAAAUGAUGCUGGUUGUAUAUAGCAGCCUUGCUGCAGAAUUUUGGAUGCAUUUCGCAUACUGAACUUCGGAGGCUCAAACUGUGGGAUUUUCCCUGGAUCUCAGAGGAUCACAAGAAAUUCAGCAGGAUUCUGGAUGCUUCUCUGCUGGGACUGCUCAGUACAGCAGUGGUGCUACUGAAGCUGGAAGUCCAUCCCAAAGUCAGCAGCCAACAAGAAAGACUCGAUUACUCCAUUGAGCAGAUUGAACUUGAGUGAACAACAGCUUUGUUGCUGUUUUUCAGAGGCUUCUGCCUCACAGCCUGAAUCAAAGGUCCUGACAGUCAUCCAGAUUGCCUCAAGGUUUAGGUAAUAAUCUGACCUUGCUCUAUGGGUAUUUACUAGCUAGACUGCCAGUAGCAGCUUGAAAUUUUGAUUCCACCCACUUGACUUGGAAGAAAUAUAAGUGCCGAAUAUAAAAGGGCAAAGAAAACUAAACUGUUAAGGUUGCUGACAAGAUGAUUCAUCUUAAAGUUUGUGUAAACCCUGUCUGACAUCUUUUUCCCUGCUCACGCUCAAAUCUAUUGCAAAGGCAGAGGGGAGGAAAAAAAACAAUUCAAGUGUUACUUCACGAAAUUUCUUCUUCUAUUGUCAGAUUUGUGAGCAACUGAGCAAUUUUCCUAAAGUAACUCUGCAAGUAUGAUACAGUAGAAUCAG